UACGUAGGGGGCAAGCGUUGUCCGGAUUUAUUGGGCGUAAAGAGCGUGUAGGCGGCCAGACAGGUCAGCUGUGAAAACUCGAGGCUCAACCUCGAGACGUCGGUUGAAACCGUCUGGCUAGAGUCCGGAAGAGGAGAGUGGAAUUCCCGGUGUAGCGGUGAAAUGCGCAGAUAUCGGGAAGAACACCCGUGGCGAAGGCGGCUCUCUGGGCCGUAACUGACGCUGAGGAGCGAAAGCAUGGGGAGCGAACAGG
rnacentral:rRNA from 1 species